GCAGAAGUCCGAAGCGUUUUUUCAGGGUCACCCGGUGUCGAGAGAACUUGUCGUCUGGGGAGAAGCGGGCUGGGUGGGCCGAGCAGGUAGGCUGGCCAUUAGGUGCCACUUUCUGUCAAUCGGCAACAAAACAAGAACAAGACGCCAAAGGACAAACUUAUUCCCGGAAGUUGUCACCUUAAGUAUAUCAAAUACCGACCAGAAGACAAGAUAGCGCAAACAACAUUUAUUGCAAAAAAAAAUGGUCUAAAAAAAGUUUUCCUUCAUUUGCCUGAAUAAAUUCAAAUGUUUGCUA